UUGGGCUCAGCCUACGGUUUGGUGCAUGUCUUCUUCACGGGUACGUUUCCCGGCUAUGCUUCUGCUGAGUUCUGUAGCAGCAGAGGCCACUGAAAAUAUUGGAUCAAAUGGAGAGUCCCACUAUUGUGUUCCCGGUCUGUGCUGAGGGGACAUGCUCACACCCUGAUAGAAAAUGGUAUCGCUAUUGUGUGAUACACCGUGAGCGAGUUUAUUGCAAAUUUGGGGCACUUCCUCUGAGGGAACAUGGUAGUGAGUUCCUGCAAAUGGCCACAGGGUUUGUUGGGGGAGAAUGGAGAUAUGUGUCGGGAACCCAAGAGCUCAGAGCCAUGAUCAUGAUGCCAAAUGUGGAGGGGAGAGGGAAGACAGUCCGGAGGCAAAGAUUGCAGAGUUCUAGAGUGUUUGGCCACUGCCUUAUGAAUCCACCUCUCCUCCUCUUUUCUCCCCCCAAACCCAAUAAGAAAACAUAGAAGCAAAAGCCAGAGGAGCUGGAGGUCAAGGCAGACUUUAUGUUCAAAGUGCCUACGCAGCCUAGCUCAUGAGGACUGAUCAAAUGCAGAAGGUUUUGUUGGCUGCAGAGGCUCUGUGGUCAGAGGAAUGCACAGGUGGCACCUUUGACUGGUUUAUUUGAGGUUGUUUUGGUUUGGUGACCACAGGACAUUUGCAUCUAUGCUCCCUGAAAAGAAUAUAGGGCCUGGGUAAAUGAGAACAGUCUCGAUAGGAAAAUUCAUUUGCUUACAAGAUAAAAAGCGAGUAGAGUACUUCCACAUAACUUGUGGCUCUUGUGAGCAGAGAGACCACUUUUUUAAAAUCCCAAAAUGGAACACAUGGUUCAGCAGGCACUGGUAUAUUUAGGGAAGACAGGGUGGGCUAUUUAAAAUCAGCAACUUCUGAAAAUCCUUGAGGCAUGACCACCCGAUCUGUACGAUUAAAUUAGUAAAAGUGGGCUAGGAGCGGGCUGUGGAACAUUAGCAAAAACUUGUAGUUAGCGUCCGUGUGCUCCACAAAGUGAGUUCUACCACAGAACAGACAGACAAACAGUACUCUGUCAGUGGAUACGGUGGUUGGGGAAGGCAGGUGAGCACAAUACAUCCAGGCCCCUGAGGACGAUGGCAGAGGAUGAGACAGAGCUGAGGCCCUCGACCCACUCUCUGGGUGUCGAGACUCCCCCUAAUGAAGGCAGCUGCCUCAGAGUUCAUCCACACAGGAGGAAGCUGGUCAGGGACCAGCAAGGUCUUCAAAACAUAGCCCGGACGGAUGUGCGGAAAGCUGACCAGGAAAAGGAUGGAGCCAAAAAAAAGGACGGAGGCCUGAGGUGUCAGGGGACAGAAAGCCAAGCCUUCAGUCCGACUGGAAGACCCGCUGUAACCUGGUAGUGAGGUUAUGGGGGAGCAGCAGCCCUCACCACCUCCAACCACCUCCAACCUUCUACCAUGGCAACCCUGAGGAGUUCUGUAUCGCCACAGCAGCGGAGGUCAGUCCACAGCGAGCAUGCCUCUAGCAUGCUGAGAUUGGUAUCAUCGCCCUCUCAUCUGGAUGAGGAAAUCAAAGCCCAGAGCCGCUCAGUCUCAAGUGAAUCAAGGCAGAACCUGAGUUUAGGACGUGAAUUCUGUCGGAUUCUGAACCCAAGUGCGCUCUGCUGUCGGGAGUUAGCAAUUCCUCAGUGGGGCAGGGAUUGAGUUUUUAAAAUUUUUGUUUUAUUUUUAUUACUUGUACGCUACUCACUUCAUGUCCGGCUCUGGAACACACACAGCUUUUGGCACUUCAUUCAUUGUAUUUUAUCAAAAGCGUUUUCUGGGCGGGGGAGGAAAGCUAGAUGGAUGUUGGAAUAUGGGAGCCAGCUUUCCGGUUCUUUUGCUUUUAAUUAUUUUGAUUGACAUGUGGCAUUGCUCUCAAUGUCUAAUGGCCUCUCGCGUCUUUGAGCCGCAGAAGAAUCAGUCCCUAGGAAUCUGUCACAGCACUCAUCUCCAGGGCCCCGGGCGCUCUGGAUGGCUCUGAUCCUC